rnacentral:lncRNA from 1 species
UAAAUUUAUGAAAAAGAAAUUGUAUUGAUGAUUAAAUGAUUACAGAAUUGAAAGAUUACAAAAUUGAAUUUUGUAAAGAACGAAAAAGAAAAUAAACUUCUAUUGCCCAAUUCGCUGUCUUGAAAUGAACUCCUGAAAUCUUCUUAUACUUGAAAUCCGGACUUGAAAUUUCUUUCAUUUGCCAGAAAGAAUCUUGAAUAGUUGAGUGGAAGACAACAUAAUGAAAAAUCUUGAAAUAUGAUGCCAACUUUUGAAUAAUUGAGCCAUCUUUUAACUAUCUUUAAAAAAGAAAUAUUCUUUCUUCAAUAAAGAAGAUUCUUUCUUUAAUAAAGUUAUCUUUUUCUUGGAAUAGAUGGUAAUCUCUUGAGAAAAAGUUGAUUAGCUGGCAUGUAUAAUUUGAAUAAAAUCUCCCUUGAUUUAUUGAUUCGGUAAUUUCUCAAUUCUUCGAGAAAACUGGAUUCUUGUAGUCAUUUUAUCUUGACACUCUUUUCUUGAGCAAGAAAGUCAUCAUAACCUAAAUUAAUUAUGUCAUCACCAUUAUCUGUCUCAUGAGAUUCUUGAUUAGAUUCUUGAGUACUUGAUUUUUUAGAUCCAUUUUUAGAAAUUUGCUCAUAAAUUUCUAAUAAUUCUUUUGGAUCUUUGCAUUUUGGUAACAUUGAAAUAAUCAUUUGCUUUUUAGUCAGAAAGUCUGCCUGAUCAUUUUGUUCUUUCUUUGAGAAUUUUGGGACACCCAAAUUUCUUUGUUCUUGAAUCCAUGAUUGAACUUUUUUAGACAGUAAUUUGUUUUUUUGAAUUUAGACCACCAUUUAACUUUAAAUCUUCUGGUAAUUUUUUGAGUGAAGUAUUUAUCAUUUUGAUUCUGAAGCAGAAAGAAAUCCCAGCAAAAGAUCAAGGAAACUUUCAUAUUGAAGGCAAAUUGGAACAAAACAUUUUCUUGAGACUUUAAAAAUAUUUUUGCCUCUCUUUUGAAGUAUUCAUAUCCUUGAAGAGUAAAAUAUUUUCCAAAUAGAGGAAUAAUAUCAUUGCUUUUGAAAAUUGAAGAGGAAGAGGAUGAUGGUUUUGAUAAAUUCUUAUCUUUUCUACUACUUUUUCUAGAUUCUUUAUAAGAAUCCUUUUGAGAAGUAAUAUUCUCAGAUUCAGAAUUUGAUUCGAUACGAUUGAGCUGAGAGCACAUAGAUUGAAGAACAACAUUAGUGUAAUUGUUCUGAGAUUGAAUAUUUUUGAUAUCCUUAGCAACAAUCUAAGAUUCAUCAGAUCGUUCUUUAGGAAUUAUUUUGAGCGGAGAUGCAAGGAUUUUUUCCAUGAGGAAUAACUGUUCUUGCAUAGGAGGAUGAGUUGAUUGGAAAGUAUUUCCUUCUGGAGUUUUCCAAUAUUGGCAUGAGUUUUUGAAGUAAAAUUUUUUGUUUUUUCUGGCCUUUUACCAAAAACUUUGAAUUGAAUCCAUUCAUAGAAACUUAAAUCCGUAGAGGAUUUAAAAUAAUUUUCCCAAUAAGAUUCUUUUUGUUUUGGAGAAAAGAAAAACUUUCUCGAAAAAGUUUUCUAAAAUUUUUUACACAAAUGUCUUAAUCAUAUUUGAAUUCUUUUCUUCUAUCAAUUUCAGAAGAAAUAACAUUACAUUGAUGAUCAAGAUUAGAGGGAGGAACCAUAUCUGAAAAAGUUGGUGAUUCUGGUUGAUCAUCAUCUUUUUCAUAUUCAUUUUGAUAAUGAGGCUUUGGAAUAAUAUGAGUAAAAUCUGCUCUUUUGUAUGAAGAUUGAAAGAAUGAUCUGAGUUUUUCUUCAGAUCUAGUUGAAAAAGAUUUAGUAUUCUUUGAAAAGAAUUUUAGUUUUUCCAUCUGGAAAAGUAAGAAUUUGAUUUGGAUUUGUUCUAGUUUGAGCAGGAAUAUGUGCUUUUGGCUGAUACUUAUAAAUUAUUUAUAGAAGAUCAAUUUAUUUUUUAUUCACACAUUUUAUGUGAUCCACAAGUAUUAUAUACAUUUAGCGGGCGAGCCGACUAGCUGUUUGGUCCUAUUGCCAAUCCUAGCUAUCAACCCAGCUCAACGUUUAAAAGUAUUUCAUCUACUUUCUUUUCUGAUUUUAAAAUAAAUUCAA